CCCAGACUCCUACGGGAGGCAGCAGUGGGGAAUAUUGCACAAUGGGGGAAACCCUGAUGCAGCGACGCCGCGUGAGUGAAGAAGUAUUUCGGUAUGUAAAGCUCUAUCAGCAGGGAAGAAAAUGACGGUACCUGAUUAAGAAGCCCCGGCUAACUACGUGCCAGCAGCCGCGGUAAUACGUAGGGGGCAAGCGUUAUCCGGAUUUACUGGGUGUAAAGGGAGCGUAGACGGUGAUGCAAGUCAGAAGUGAAAGCCCGGGGCUCAACUCCGGGACUGCUUUUGAAACUGUGUGACUGGAGUGCAGGAGAGGUAAGCGGAAUUCCUGGUGUAGCGGUGAAAUGCGUAGAUAUCAGGAGGAACACCAGUGGCGAAGGCGGCUUACUGGACUGUAACUGACGUUGAGGCUCGAAAGCGUGGGGAGCAAACAGGAUUAGAUACCCGAGUAC
rnacentral:rRNA from 1 species